CCCCCACCCCACCCCGUGCCACGCGGUGCCCCCUUCCCUUCCUGCCCACGUGCAGCGUGCACACUCGGUUUGCGCGAGGUUUUGAAGGCCCACGGUGCUCCAGCUGCUGCUCCAGGCUGUGGGGUUUCAGCAAAGUCCUCCCCACCCGGGGGGCAGUAAGGACGCGUGGCCGUGGCUACAGGUCUCCCCUCAUUUGGUGCGUGGCCACUAGGUGACGCGGAGUAGUGCUCUCAUCUGUCAGUGUGGCCGCUGGGUAAGGAGGCAGGGCCGUGGCACGACAGGACCAUACUAUGGGAUCAAAGCACUAGGUGCUUCUUCAUUCAUUCGCAGACCCAUGCCUCCAGGUAAGCCGCGGUAAGUAGGGCCAGGGUGGGCCAGCCAUGCUGCUGUGACACCCAAGAGAGACAUCAGUGGCAAACAGACUUUCAGAGAUGCCCGGGAGCUGGGAAGCUGUGAGGUCUGGGUGCACCAAAACUCCCCCGGCAGGGGAAGGAGCCCUUCCUGAGAGGAUAGUCACAGCCAACCCCCGGGACGUUCUGAGUCUGGGUAGGGCGGAGGGUGGGGCUCCCUGGGGCUGAGCCCACCUGCGUGUUGAGAGAGAAGUAGGAUUUUUUUGCUAUCUCUCAGGGGUCACGUGAAAAAGUGCUCUGCAGGACAUUUUCUGAGUUCUGGGGUGCUGUGAGAGGCCAGUGAGCCCCCAGGGAAGACAGAGUGACAUCCCCCACAGCAUCAGUAGAGACAGGAAGCAGCACUCCGCUCCGUGGAGGAUGGGCCCUAUGGCAGACACAGGGCCUAACCAGUGUGGUGCGGGAGGCUGAGCUUCUCAGGCCAGAAGAAAGAGAUUUAUUUACUUGUUUAUUCGUUUAUACUGGGGAUUAAACCCAGGGCCUCAUGCAUGCUAGCCAAGUGCCAGGCUCUUUGUAUUUUAUUUUGAGACAGGGUCUUACUGAGUUGCCCAGGAUGGUCUUGAACUUCCAGUCUUCCUUGUCUGCUUUGGCCUCCCAAGUGGCUGGGAUGACUCGGAUGACCAUUCCCAGCUGACAAGAGACACAUUUUGGUGAUGAGGACAGAGCCAGGGAUUGAACUCGGGACCUUGCGCUUGCAAGGCAGGCGCCAGAACCACUGAGCUAAAUCCCCGGCCCCCCAUUAUGAUCAUUUUAACUGACACAGAAGAAGCAUUUGAUAAAAUUCAACUUCAUGAUGUAAACUCCUAGCAAAUCAGGAAUGGAAUGGAAUUUCCCUAAUCUGAUGUAUUGUUCUGUCAAAAAGCUAACAUGUACAUAAAGAUGAAAUAUUUAACAUUUCCCACUCAAAUUCAGGGCCAAAACAGAAUGGCCGUUGUCACUCCUUCUGUUCAAUAUUUCACUGGCUAGGGCAUCAAAUACAAAAGACAAUAAAAGAAAUAAGAGUUUUUAAAUUGCAAUAAAAGGAAACCUAAUUAUUCUCAGAUA